rnacentral:rRNA from 1 species
CACGUAGGGCGCAAGCGUUGUCCGGGAUUAUUGGGCGUAAAGAGCUCGUAGGCGGUCUGUUGCGUCCGCUGUGAAAACUCGGGGCUUAACCCCGAGCCUGCAGUGGAUACGGGCAGACUAGAGGUAGGUAGGGGAGAAUGGAAUUCCCGGUGUAGCGGUGAAAUGCGCAGAUAUCAGGAAGAACACCAAUGGCGAAGGCAGCUCUCUGGGACGGUACUGACGCUGAGACGCGAAAGCGUGGGGAGCGAACAGG